UACGUAGGGGGCAAGCGUUGUCCGGAUUUAUUGGGCGUAAAGAGCGUGUAGGCGGCCGUACAGGUCAGCUGUGAAAACUCGAGGCUCAACCUCGAGACGUCGGUUGAAACCGUACGGCUAGAGUCCGGAAGAGGAGAGUGGAAUUCCUGGUGUAGCGGUGGAAUGCGCAGAUAUCAGGAAGAACACCCGUGGCGAAGGCGGCUCUCUGGAACGCAACUGACGCUGAGACGCGAAAGCGUGGGGAGCAAACAGG
rnacentral:rRNA from 1 species